UGGGGAAUUUUGCACAAUGGGGGAAACCCUGAUGCAGCGACGCCGCGUGAUUUAGAAGGCCUUCGGGUUGUAAAAAUCUUUUCUAUGGGAAGAAAAUGACAGUACCAUAGGAAUAAGGACCGGCUAAUUACGUGCCAGCAGCCGCGGUAAUACGUAAGGUCCGAGCGUUGUCCGGAAUCAUUGGGCGUAAAGGGUACGUAGGCGGGUAAGCAAGUUAGAAGUGAAAUCCUAUAGCUCAACUAUAGUAAGCUUUUAAAACUGCUCAUCUUGAGGUAUGGAAGGGAAAGUGGAAUUCCUAGUGUAGCGGUGAAAUGCGCAGAUAUUAGGUGGAAUACCGGUGGCGAAGGCGACUUUCUGGCCAUAACCUGACGCUGAGGUACGAAAGCGUGGGUAGCAAACAGG
rnacentral:rRNA from 1 species